UAGUCCACGCCGUAAACGAUGAUCACUAGUUGUGUGCGAUACACAGUACGUGACUGAGCGAAAGCAUUAAGUGAUCCACCUGGGGAGUACGUUGGCAACAAUGAAACUCAAAGGAAUUGACGGGGGCCCGCACAAGCGGAGGAACAUGUGGUUUAAUUCGAUGAUACGCGAGGAACCUUACCUGGGCUUAAAUGUAGAGUGAUUUACUGGGAAACUAGUAUUCCUUCGGGCACUUUACAAGGUGCUGCAUGGUUGUCGUCAGCUCGUGCCGUGAGGUGUCGGGUUAAGUCCCAUAACGAGCGCAACCCCUAUUGUUAGUUGCCAGCGGAUAAUGCCGGGGACUCUAACGAAACUGCCGGUGUAAACCGUGAGGAAGGUGGGGAUGACGUCAAAUCAGCACGGCCCUUAUGUCCAGGGCUACACACGUGUUACAAUGGUCGGUACAAAGGGCAGCUACCUGGUGACAGGAUGCUAAUCUCUAAAACCGAUCUCAGUUCGGAUCGAGGU
rnacentral:rRNA from 1 species